CAUUUUGGGGGUUGACUGUUUCAUCGCUGUGGCUGUGACAUUUUGGUCGGAUAAUAAUAUCUUGUUCAGCGGUCGGUUGCACGGCAAGACACUCAAAGGAAUCGGCAGUUCAGUUUUUCCGACUUCCUUUUGAUGAGGAGGCUGAAGCAAUGGUUGGUGAACAUGAGGAGAGAGAGACCAGCAAAUGGAACCACGAAAAGUCACGUCUGCUGUUCACACUUUGAGGAAGAUCAGUUUUUUAGAGACAAGCAGGUAUCCCCACUGAAAACUGAAUGAGCAGAGCCUCCAGAAGGAAGACGAGGUGUAUAUAGCCUCCAGAAGGAAGACCUGGUGUAUAGAGCCUCCAGAAGGAAGACGAGGUGUAUAGAGCCUCCAGAAGGAAGACCUGUUGUGUAGAGCGGCGUAUUUGGUGCCAUUUCAUCUGGAUGUGGAAACCAGAGCGUUGACCACAUCCAAAGUUCUCAAAUGUGUUCUGAUUGUAAAAAUGCCAGAAAAUCAUUUUUGGUUCAGCUUCUUCUGCUGGAAGGAUGGACAAUCUUUUGGCACUUGGUAGUUAGAGGUUCAAUUUCUUGUGGUUGACUUAGUUUCUGCUGUAGUUUGAGAGGUGAUAGUAGUAACAUUAAGUAGUUUUGUGGAUUAAAACUUUUAUAAAUAUUAAACUGGAAUAAAAUAAUGAAUAUACUCUAGCAGUCACAGGUGAAAGUAUGUUUGGUAAUUUCACAUAAA